rnacentral:sRNA from 1 species
GUCGUUGGAAAGAUUUAGCAAAGCAUUUCACGAAUAAGACCUUUUGAGUUGACAUACUUCUCGUCCUGUUUUUGACCCUGCACGUUUUUUAUUUCCCGCAUAUCGCUGAGCAAACAUCACAACGAUUUUUGACAGCACAUUAUUGAUCAAAAUCAGGAUAAUUAUUAUGUCUACAAUUAAAGGCAACGUUAAGUUCUUCAAUGAAGCAAAAGGUUUCGGCUUUAUUACUCGUGAAGGCGGUGCAGACGUUUUUGUUCAUUACAGUUCUAUUCAGGGCGGCGGAUUCAAGACCUUGGCCGAAGGCCAGGAAGUUGAAUUCAGCGUGACCGAAGGCCAAAAAGGCCCACAGGCAGAGAACGUUAUUGGCCUGUAAAUAACAGCCAAUACGUGACUCAAAAAGGCAGCCUGUUCAGGCUGCCUUUUUUA